rnacentral:rRNA from 1 species
UACAGGGGGUGCAAGCGUUGUUCGGAAUUACUGGGCGUAAAGCGCGUGUAGGCGGGCUACUAAGUCUGGUGUGAAAUCCCUCGGCUUAACUGAGGACGUGCAUUGGAUACUGAUAGUCUUGAGUCCUGGAGAGGGUAGCGGAAUUCCCAGUGUAGAGGUGAAAUUCGUAGAUAUUGGGAGGAACACCGGUGGCGAAGGCGGCUACCUGGACAGUGACUGACGCUGAGACGCGAAAGCAUGGGUAGCAAACAGGAUUAGAUACCCUGGUAGUCCAUGCCGUAAACGAUGGGUGCUAGUUGGUGCGGGUAUUGACCCCUGCGCUGACGAAGCUAACGCGUUAAGCACCCCGCCUGGGGAGUACGGCCGCAAGGCUA